AUUGAACGCUGGCGGCAUGCUUUACACAUGCAAGUCGAACGGCAGCGCGGGCUUCGGCCUGGCGGCGAGUGGCGAACGGGUGAGUAAUACAUCGGAACGUGCCCAGUAGUGGGGGAUAGCUCGGCGAAAGCCGGAUUAAUACCGCAUACGACCUGAGGGUGAAAGCGGGGGAUCUUCGGACCUCGCGCUAUUGGAGCGGCCGAUGGCAGAUUAGCUAGUUGGUGGGGUAAAGGCCUACCAAGGCGACGAUCUGUAGCUGGUCUGAGAGGACGACCAGCCACACUGGAACUGAGACACGGCCCAGGCUCCUACGGGAGGCAGCAGUGGGGAAUUUUGGACAAUGGGCGAAAGCCUGAUCCAGCAAUGCCGCGUGUGUGAUGAAGGCCUUCGGGUUGUAAAGCACUUUUGGCGGGAACGAAAAGGACUGUGCCAAUACCACGGUUCGAUGACGGUACCCGCAGAAUAAGCACCGGCUAACUACGUG
rnacentral:rRNA from 1 species